CCUACCUGCAUAAGCCCUGAAUGAUUUUCUUGUUAUUAUCUCUAAAAUCCGGUUAUAGGACCAAAUUGUGGCUGCUGUUUAUUCAGCAUUUUUUGUCUCAAGAUGCCAUGCUGAGGCUGUCCACCCACCGGUCAUCACUACAGCUGCGAGACUAGACUAAGCUGGUUAUAGGCGAGCAGAACCAUCAGACCCCUCAGAACUGGAAAGCCUACUUCCAUUUAUAUAGAGAUUGUCUUAUGUUUACAGGAUCUCCAAAUGGUCCAAAGCCGGUGGUGUGGUACCGAGGAUAUAGGAGGCAUUUCUUAAGGAAAAUUGAGGAAAAAAAUCUCAGUGUUUUAUCAGGACAAGAACCGCUGUCACUUAUUUUCUCCUACACAGAAAUGAGGUUCAAUCCCAGGCCAGAAGACCCCUCCUCUGAAAUAGAGAUGUCUGAAGAUGGAACGUUGCCAGUAGUAUUAUGGUUCCAAGCUGUACUUCCUGCUUGUGAAAUAUAUA